rfam:Schistosoma rodhaini strain Burundi genome assembly, scaffold: SROB_scaffold0000116
AUCGUUUCUCAGCUCUCUAAACUAAGAACACGUGUAGUAUCUGUUUUUCGCAGUGUAAUUUCUACAAUAGUCUCUAAGCUGCGAACGUUGAAAUUACUUGUAUUUUUCUCCCCCGGACGGGUUCCUCAAGCUUGCUCAAUCCCAUACAUGAGUCGGCCUCGUAUUGUAUUACCUUGUAGUGACCUACUUUUC